ACUGUAAAAAUAAUUUGGGAUAGGACUGAUUGGAAACGUGCUUCAUCUUCCUGCUACUCUGCAUUUCUCACUGCUUUGAGUAAUCUCAAAAGCUUCCAGUACUUGAUAAUCCUCAUGAUCAGCUGAGCCAGGUGAAUCACCCCUCUGAAAAAAAGAAGUUGCCCAAGUGGCGUAUCUAAUUUCAUUUUUCCCUGUACAGUUCACAGCCGCUUUUUGACAACGUACCAACAAAAUAUCCUGUUACAAUAUACUGGGGAAGAGAAUUCCAUCUGAAUCUGACUACAGAUUUGCACUUACUUAGGUUUCUUAGAUUCAGUUUCUUUUCUUAUUGAUAUGGUAACCGCUUGUGCUAUACCAUGCUAUAGGUACAAGGCUUGGAAUUGGAUAUCACAUUGGCUUCCCCAGGCACUACCAGAUGGAUUCAUUAGCACAUACUAUAUCCAAUCAGCUGUUCAUUCCUAUUGCAUUUCGAGUUUGGAGUAAAAUCAGAACAUGAUGUAAGGUGUUUCUAUAAUUACUUUAUUUUGCUACCCUUAAUUCCUUUCUUUCAAUAGUAAACUUGUCAUGGCCAACGUGCAUGACAUGCAUCGUCCAUCCAUGACUGGAAUGCUAAAUAUCUUGUUACAUCCUUGUAGGAUGUAUACUCCUUAGUCUGGAUUUCAGAGGCCCCUUCCACAAAAUAUCUAGCAGUCUGAAACUGUGAAAAAGCUUCUGAAUUUACACACUGGAAUAGAUGCUCGGUUUAAAGAGUGGGCAAAGUAAAUGUCUGGUUGUCCUACUGAGAGGUAUGUAGUGGUAAGGAAGCAAUUCGCAAUGUAAGAUUUAUCACUUACCAGCAGUAGCUCUUGGUAAGGGGAACGAAUCUAUUUACAAUAACAAAUAAGUUGUACUGUAUCAGACUCAACUUACAUCCAGUUUCCAGCAGUCAGCAGCUGAUAUCUGAGGAACUGACAGUAACGACAUGAUAAAGCAGUUAAAGCAGCAUCCAUAUGCCUGCCAUGUAUUCCUGUUGUUCAGAGGAUACUGAUGUAUAUUUCUACAUAUUCUAAUCACUUUUAACCCAUAUAAACCUUUUAUAAUUUGCAACACCUCCACUUGCUGUACUGUUAAGCAAGGGGGUAAUUUUUUUCUUCAUACAUAUGAUGAUUUUAUAUUUUCCUUUAGAAAUUGCCUCCCAGCUGAGGAAUCUCAUGUAUUCAGUUACUCAUGUAAACCUAUUCCUUAAUUACUCUUCUCUGAAUAUUUUCUAUUUUUCAGUGCAUCUUUUUAGAAGUGAGGGGAUGAGAAAUGCAGAUUAUUCAAAUUGCAGGUCACCGUGGAUUUAUGAAGUGGGAAGAGAUGCUUUAGUAUUUUGUUUAGUCCUGAAAAAUCCUAGCAUCCACUUACUCUUUUUCAGUUAGGCAUUAAGUAACAUUUUCAUGGACCUACUGUAAUUCUCUUUUAUUGAGGAACUAAUAUUUAAUUAGCUAGGAAAUUGGGUAGAAAACAGUCUAAAGCUGCCCUUGGCAACCCACAGAACCCAUUUAUUCCAUAUGACUACAGAACAAGGUCUUCAAAAGUUGCUUGUUGGCAGGUGUCUUCUGCUUAGUACUGCAGAAAAGUCACAGAAACUUGUAGAAGGAAAAGUAUAAUUGUAAGGGAAAACUUUUCUGCAGCAAGAGAUUAUAGUGAGGGUACCAGCAGUGUGGCAGACUGCAUCAGGGAUGAGGCAUUAGUUAUGUUCAACACACUACAGAGAUAUCAAGACUCGGGGAUAUAGAGACUGAAAAUCUGGAUUAUAUUUAAGUAAUGAAUAAUCCCAAAUAAAAUCACUGCAUUACGGAUGCUUCCAUGGAUGUGGCAGGUAAACAAGGAGAAGUGUCCUUGCAAAAAAGAACCCAAAGUACAAUGAAAAUCUUUGGGCUUCAGGCAUUUUUAAUGGUUGGUCUUAAUUUUCCAAAUAAUCAAAGCUACCUAUAUUCAGAGAAGAGCUUAGUGAUCAGCCCUUUGCUAAUGAAAUUCAGUAGAGUCUCUGCCUUUCAUGGCAUUUUUCUUCUUUCACAGUUUUGGAAAUGAGCACAGAAUCAGGCCUUGACAGCCUCUUCCCUUCUCCACACUUACUCACAGCAGUAAUUACCAUAAACCAAGCAAAUGGUUCCUUGGCAUCCGAGGUUUCACGUCAAAAGCAUCAUCUGUGACUUCACUGCCUGCUCACUCAUCCAGGGCCGUGAGGAGAAAAUGGUCUUUAUUUCAGCAAUUAAUGUAAAAGACCCUCACCACGAGGAGUAUAGUAAAUCACAUUUCUUCAAAGGCUCUUUCUUUUCACAGUUGCCCUACCCUACGCAUAAUCUUUCUUUCAUAAUCUUUACCAAAAAAAGGACUAUAUAUUUGCAUUACUCGUCUGCCCAAGCACAUCAGCACCCCCAGAAGAAUUCAGAUGAACUACAGCCUUCUAAGGUAACAGCAUCAUGUAGCUAGGCAACAAAAGAAGAAUAUAGUAUUUUUCAGGAAGGAGGGCUUUCCUCGAUGAUCUCAUCCAGAUGCAGUGCUCUUUUCCUUAUAAGAAGAAAACUGCUCAUUGGAAAAAUGAGUCUCUCAUCCUGUCAUCAUCAAGUCAUAUCGAUAUAUAGGCUGCUUUUGAUGAACUGGCAGAGAAAAUAAUGAUGUAUUGUAUGCAGUAUCUAUUUAUCUCUCUAUAUUUGUUACAUGUUUGUAAUUUCAUUUGUGAAGGCUAAAAACCACAAAAAUUCAUUUCUGAAGUCUAAAAACCAUAAAUGAUUUUAUGGCAGAUUUCAUUAACCAUCAUCCUAACUAAAAUGGAAUGCUUCAAUAAUUACUGUCAGCUGAAAUAAAUUGUGUGUCAUUUCAGUGGCAAUUGUCAGCACUAAAAAAGAUAUUUUGCUAGUGGAAAAGGCACCUGGUUAUGUGUCCUGUCUGUCACUGUAUGUAGUGACAGAAUGAUUGUGAGUGGUGCACACUGGUUUUAUGAUUCUGAAAGGGUUCAGGUAAGGGAAAACCAAAAAGAAAUUGAUCUGGACUAACAGAAGCAGCACAGGCACUGCUUGCCAUUGUGCCCCAAGCAGACAAGCAGGAUAAGUAGCUCCUCAGGUGCAGUCACAGUCUGAUGGGUGGGAACGCAGUGGACUCUGAAUAAAGCCGUUUGCCCCUGGUACUCAGUAGGUCUGUGCUGGUAGGAUCUCAGGACAGCCGCCGACCCCUGUGAAAUCAUAGCACCAUCUACCGGGGUAACGCUAACCUGAGCAUCGUUACAACCCAUGAUCACAUCUGAAGCUGUAAGCAGGUAUUACUUUCAGCUAUCCCGUAUGCCAUUUCUCCUGUAUAUCCUUUUCUGCAUCAUGCUGAGAAUUUGUCUAUAUCUUAACUUCAUUUGGCUUGCAGAACUGCCAGACCUUGUUUCACAGUCUGUGUGCAGCAGUGCAGCCUGUGAGGUUGGGACGUGUAUCACAAAGAAUUGCCAGGAGACCCAGCCAGGAAAACAUCUUCCAUGGAUCAGGGCAAUGCCUCUCCAGUUGUCUGUGUUUGUGGCACCAUGUGAUCUGUGUAUUGCUGCGUCUGUGGUACAGACCUGAAUGCAGCUGAUCAGAUAUUACAUCAGUCUUGGCAGCUUUCAUAUAUGUACUCUCUCCCUUUGGCACGUUGUUUUAUUUGUAUAUUCCAGAGUCUGUUCUGUGGGAUUGUUUCCAUUCUCUCCAGCUUGACCGAGCCACAAUUCAUACUACGUUGUCUUUUUCAUCUUUUCUUUCUUUGUGCUGAAACAGGGAUUGCUCCAUUAGGCAUGCAAAAAACAAAACAAAGAAACCAACCAAACAAUAUGUUUGCAGCCAGUAAAAGGCUCAAGCAGCUUUUAAGAGGAUGAAGACCAUAAUAUUUGUAACAAAGUUUCUGCAGACUAAAGGUUCAGUAGAAUAUGUUGCAGGCAUUGAACUCGUACAAUACACAGCUAUAUGUAUAGAUUAAAGCUAAUACAUUGCUUACUUUUCAUUUGUAAAAUUAACAGCUCAAAUUUUUGCUAGGAAUGGCCCAAUAUUCUUGUUACUAACAAUAACAAAUAUAUGAAUGCAACAAGACUUCAUCACUUAUAUGCUUAUAAAACAGGAGGGAAAAAGAAAAGGAAUCUGUUGGCAUUAACCAACUUUGCUAUGCAAGCAUUGCAAACUACAGGGUUGAUUUACUUGUUACUUUGCAGUAGUGAUGAAAUAAACACUGCUGCUUAGGUACCUUCACAGCCCUAAGACAGAUCAUGUGCCAGCUCUUCCAUGAACAGAAGUAUAGAGAACUGAAUCUGCCGGGCAUCCUGGUGUUAAGCAAACUGCUGAUAUUGUACUGAGGUUAUUUUGGUCAAAACCACAUGAGAGGCAGCUGAUGGGAAUUCAGACGAGACUAAUUGGGUAGAUUAAGGAAAAAAAGAAAAGCUACAGUAAAACAUCAUCCCAAGUAAUAUCAAAGUAACGGAGAGAACCCCAUACAGACAAGAGAGCUUGGCAGUCCUGGAGGACCUGCUGUUUUCCUGCUAGUAUGUGUAGGCACAACUGCCAUCCACGCUCUUUGGCUGUUGUACCCAUGAUUUUGGAAAGGAUUACACCUCCCUUGGUCAAAUUAAAGCAUUAGUUCUAUAUUGGUAAUUAUCCUCUUCUUCUCUCUUGUUGCCUUUUGUAGGGAAGGGACUUGGACUUAAUGACAGUGAGACAACAAAGGCUUUUCUGUUACCUGCUGCAAUGUGAGGGAACUAUGGGAUUGGUUGUGUAGUGACCUAGGAGGACAGGGCAGAGGGAAGAGAAAUCCAGGGUGAAGCUCACAGGUUGUUCCACAUUGUUGUGUCACCCUUCCUGACACUGCCACCACAGAGAAUGUUAUCGUCACCGUGGUCACGGUCAUGCCCCUUCAGACAACCAGUCUGUAGGGAUCAAGGAAAGCAGAGGGGUGGGAGAUGCCUAGCAUUAAGUCAUGGGAGCUCACAGCCUCCAGUUAACAGCUCUGGAAGCUCAUGGUUCUCCUGUUGUCACAGCCUGUGGCUGAGAGCAUCCCUCAGACACUGGUAGCACAGUGAGGUGGAGUAUGGCCCUGCUACUUUCUUAUCUUUCUCUCAUGCCUUCCCAAAAUCCUAAGCUAGCAGUUGCUCCCUGCUGCCAAGUUCCAUUUAUUCCACUGACCUGAUGGAAAUUAACUUUUGCCCUGUUCUCCUCGUGUGGGAGCUGAACUAAUGGCAGGAUUCAGAGACUUGUGAAAAGCACAGCCUUGGCACCUGCAACUUGUGUGUGCUGCAACAAGAUUGUGAAAAGCACUGAAAUUGAAGAGACUAGUUGCAAAUUACACAGUCACUCUGAUGAGUUUGUAGAUGAAGGAGGGAUAGCAGGGAUUCCAAUAGUUCAAACAACAAAUAUGUCUUUGCAGACAGUGCUGUUCCUUUCAUCACAAAGUCAAGCAAUGGAGGCAACCUGCUGUGGGAUGCAAAAGCUUUAUACAGCACACCCCAGCUACUGAUCAUUAAAGCUGAGCAGUGCAAGAUUUUUGCUGAAAGAGGCAGAACAUCAGCAUUCAGCAAGUUCUCAGGCUGAGGGAGCCCCAUACAGGAGGAGCUGCGAUCUUCAGCCAAGUAACAAUGAGCGAUUUUACCACUCACCUUAAACCUCUCGGGCAGUGAUCUGAUCAGUUUCACCUUUAUGGACAGGCCGAUGAGCGUUGCCAUGCUGCAGUGCGGGAUCGUGGGUGUGAA